rnacentral:rRNA from 1 species
GAUGAACGCUGGCGGCGUGCCUAAUACAUGCAAGUCGAGCGAACAGACGAGGAGCUUGCUCCUCUGACGUUAGCGGCUGACGGGCGAGUAACACGUGGAUCACCUACCUCUAAGACUGGGAUAACUUCGGGAAACCGGAUCUGAUACCGGCUCAUAUAUUGAACCGCAUGGUUCAAUAGUGAAUGACGGUUUUGCUGUCUCUUAUAGAUGGAUCCGCGCCGCAUUAGCUAGUUGGUAAGGUAACGGCUUACCAAGGCAACGAUCCGUAGCCGACCUGAGAGGGUGAUCGGCCACACUGGAACUGAGACACGGUCCAGACUCCUACGGGAGGCAGCAGUAGGGAAUCUUCCGCAAUGGGCGAAAGCCUGACGGAGCAAUGCCGCGUGAGUGAUGAAGGUCUUCGGGUCGUAAAACUCUGUUAUUAGGGAAGAACAAAUGUGUAAGUAACUAUGCACGUCUUGACGGUACCUAAUCAAAAAGCCACGGCUAACUACGUG